rnacentral:rRNA from 1 species
UGGGGAAUAUUGCACAAUGGGCGCAAGCCUGAUGCAGCCAUGCCGCGUGUAUGAAGAAGGCCUUCGGGUUGUAAAGUACUUUCAGCGGGGAGGAAGGCGAUGCGGUUAAUAACCGCGUCGAUUGACGUUACCCGCAGAAGAAGCACCGGCUAACUCCGUGCCAGCAGCCGCGGUAAUACGGAGGGUGCAAGCGUUAAUCGGAAUUACUGGGCGUAAAGCGCACGCAGGCGGUCUGUCAAGUCGGAUGUGAAAUCCCCGGGCUCAACCUGGGAACUGCAUCCGAAACUGGCAGGCUUGAGUCUCGUAGAGGGGGGUAGAAUUCCAGGUGUAGCGGUGAAAUGCGUAGAGAUCUGGAGGAAUACCGGUGGCGAAGGCGGCCUCCUGGACGAAGACUGACGCUCAGGUGCGAAAGCGUGGGGAGCAAACA